ACAGAGGGGGCAAGCGUUAUUCGGAAUUAUUGGGCUUAAAGGGCGCGUAGGCGGCCUGGCAAGUGGAAGGUGAAAUCCCUCGGCUUAACCGAGGAACUGCCUCCCAAACUGCUUGGCUUGAGACCAGGAGAGGUGAGUGGAACUCCCAGUGUAGCGGUGAAAUGCGUAGAUAUUGGGAGGAACACCAGUGGCGAAGGCGGCCUUCUGGACGGUGACUGACGCUGAGACGCGAAAGCGUGGGGAGCAAACAGGA
rnacentral:rRNA from 1 species